UACAGAGGUCUCAAGCGUUGUUCGGAUUCAUUGGGCGUAAAGAGCGUGUAGGCGGCCCGGUAAGUCCGCUGUAAAAGUCAAAGGCUCAACCUUUGAAUGUCAGUGGAUACUGUCGGGCUAGAGUCCGGAAGAGGCGAGUGGAACUCCUGGUGUAGCGGUGGAAUGCGCAGAUAUCAGGAAGAACACCAACGGCGAAGGCAGCUCGCUGGGACGGUACUGACGCUGAGACGCGAAAGCGUGGGGAGCGAACAGG
rnacentral:rRNA from 1 species